rnacentral:rRNA from 1 species
UAACCUGCCCCAAAGAUAGGGAUAACAGUUCGAAAGGACUGCUAAUACCUUGUGUGGUCAUUUAGCUUAUACGCUUUUUGACUAAAGGAGCUUGCUCCGCUUUGGGAGGGGCCUGCGUCCCAUCAGCUAGUUGGUACGGUAAUGGCCUACCAAGGCAAUGACUGGUAGGGGACCUGAGAGGGUGGACCCCCACAAUGGAACUGAAACACGGUCCAUACACCUACGGGUGGCAGCAGUAGGGAAUAUUGGUAAUGUGCGAAAGCGCGAACCAGCAACGCCGCGUGUGCGAAGAAGGCCUUCGGGUUGUUAAGCACUUUUCGGGAGGAAGAGGAAGGACUGUACUCCCGGAAUAAGUCUCGGCUAACUACGUGCCAGCAUCCGCGGUCAUACGUAGGAGGCAAACGUUAUCCGGAUUUACUGGGCGUAAAGCGCGUGCAGGCUGUUCGAUAAGUUGGGCGUGAAAGCUCCCGGCUCAACUGGGAGAGGUCGUUCAAUACUGUCGGACUAGAGGAUGGUAGAGGAAGGUGGAAUUCCGGGUGUAGUGGUGACAUGCGCAGAUAUCCGGAGGAACACCAGUGGCGAAAGCGGCCUUCUGGACCAUUCCUGACGCUCAGACGCGAAAGCUAGGGUAGCAAACGGGAUUAGAGAGCCCGGUAGUCCUAGCUGUAAACGAUG